UGUUGUUGAGGAAGAUAAUGACGGUACUCAACAAGGAAGUGACGGCUAACUACGUGCCAGCAGCCGCGGUAAAACGUAGGUCACAAGCGUUGUCCGGAAUUACUGGGUGUAAAGGGAGCGCAGGCGGGAGAACAAGUUGGAAGUGAAAUCCAUGGGCUCAACCCAUGAACUGCUUUCAAAACUGUUUUUCUUGAGUAGUGCAGAGGUAGGCGGAAUUCCCGGUGUAGCGGUGGAAUGCGUAGAUAUCGGGAGGAACACCAGUGGCGAAGGCGGCCUACUGGGCACCAACUGACGCUGAGGCUCGAAAGUGUGGGUAGCAAACAGGAUUAGAUACCCUGGUAGUCCACACCGUAAACGAUGAUUACUAGGUGUUGGAGGAUUGACCCCUUCAGUGCCGCAGUUAACACAAUAAGUAAUCCACCUGGGGAGUACGACCGCAAGGUUGAAACUCAAAGGAAUUGACGGGGGCCCGCACAAGCAGUGGAGUAUGUGGUUUAAUUCGACGCAACGCGAAGAACCUUACCAAGUCUUGACAUCCCUUGACGAUCMURGAAACAUGUUUUCUCUUCGGAGCAAGGAGACAGGUGGUGCAUGGUUGUCGUCAGCUCGUGUCGUGAGAUGUUGGGUUAAGUCCCGCAACGAGCGCAACCCUUAUGGUCAGUUACUACGCAAGAGGACUCUGGCCAGACUGCG
rnacentral:rRNA from 1 species